UGAUGCUUCCCCGCGCCUACACCGGUCUGUAUGUCAGGGAAGGACUGUCUCUACAUGUGGUUGUGUGAUUGCCUGAGUGAAGGAAGUGUGUGUCUGUGUGUUUGUAUGGUGUGUGAUCUGUACUCUUGGGCCUGUUGUGCACACACGCUGGUAUGGUAGAAAGAUAUUCUGUGCCUCAGCUGUAAACAAGUAGAAACCAAAUCCUGUGGUUUUGUGGUGUAGCCUGUGUUUGUUCGCAUGUGCAGACCUGCGAGGGCCGUGGCUAUUAUUUGGAACAACUGUAUAUGCAGCCCAGUUUGUGAAAAAGAGAGAGAGAGAAAGAUACAGCCAGAGUGUGUUUUGUCCGUGUGACUUUGUGAUUGUGUUGUGUUGAGAAAGAGAAAUUAAUGCGGGUUAAUUUCUGGGAUAAGUGGAUGGUUAGGAGAAACAGACAUUCCAGAGAACAUGGGAGUUGGGACACUGAAGGAUGUGUAAGAGUUCAUCCUGGGCACAGUGUGCCAGGAGCCAAAUGAGACCAUGGAACCUGGGCAGUGUAUGUGGCCACCUGGUGGGCAGGGAGGGGGCUGGGGAAAUAACUCUCCUGUUUCCGUUCAACAGCCUUCUGAAUUCUCCAGCUUGGAGGGAAGCAGACAGGGAGGGGGGCCACUUGCCAGAAUUCACAAAGUUUGUUGAGUGCCACGGAUUGAAAGAAGGGAGAGGUGGGCCCUGCCCUGAAGGUGCCCAGAUCUUCUCUGGACUGAAGCAUGUUCCGAAAAGAAGAGAAGAAAGGUCAGGUAUCCUGACCGCAGUUCUUUCGCUCGCAUGAUGGGCAUCCUGGAUUGCUGUAUCAGUGAGGCAGGAGCUGGGCUGAGUACUGGAGAUGUACAACAGUGAACACGACAGGAUCCUGACCCUUCCAGAAAACCGAGGAGAAAGGGCGUGGCUUUUCCACUUCUGAAGGGGACACACCGGCAGGGGAGGCGCAUACCCAGAGGCAGACCCUGCUCUGGCGGCAGAACCAGGACUAGAACUGAGGACUUCCAGCACUCGAGCUGUCUUCUCUGUUCCAUCCCACAGGCUGCCUGGGAAAGACAGGCCCUGGUCUUCAUGCUGCUCGGGGCACAGCAGGGAGAAGAUGUGCUGCCCAUUCUGACCCUCACCCCCAGCUCCUCGGGGGUCCCCAGUAUUCCCCUCCCCAAACAGCCUCAUGGGAACAAAUCUGUUCUACAGAUACCAUGAUUCCCACCCCGGCCCCAUGUUACAGGUGAGGAAAGUGAACGUUCAGAGAGGGAAAGUGACUCCCCCAAGGUGACACAGCGAGCCUAGGAGGACUUGCUCCUUCGUUCUGGCGCCAUACUGCUUCUGUUGGCCUUUGUGGGCUCGCUGUGCUGACAGAAACGUGGGCAGUUGUGUGGCAGGAGAACCCGAUUCCCUUGUCAGGCUCCUAUAGACUGGAUGUUGAGGAUGCUUCUGCCAAACACUCAGGUUUCUGGGUACAGUAGUCAGAGCAUCAGGGCUCGAACUGGCAGAAAACCUACCUUAAAAUGGUAAGGACAGGGUCGAGCAAGCUCUAGGCAUGGCUGCACUGAGGAGCUCAGAUGAUGUCGUCAGGAUUCAGGGUCAGUCUCUUGGUCCCUCAAGAUUCUUUCCCUCCCUACUGAUCUCAUUCUCUGGCAGGCUCUCCUCCUAAUCACAAAGUGGCUGCCAGCAGCUCUAGCCAUGCGUCCUAAUCUCCCACAGCUCCAGCAGAAACAGAGACUCUUUUCCCAACUGUUCUAACAGCAUUCGCCAAACCAAGUCUCAUUGGCUGUUACUGAAAUAUGUAUCCAUUCCUUGGCCAGUCAGUGUGACCAAGGGUUCUGAUUGGCCAGGCCACCGAGCCUGAGGGUCUCAGAGGUACCUGGUGUUUGAAGUCCAUGUGGGUCUAGCUAUCCCAGCCUCAGGACUCAGCAAGAUCCAAGUGUGAAAAGUGAAAGUGAAAGUUGAUCAGUCGUGUCCGACUCUUUACAACCCCAUGGACUAUGCAUGGAAUUCUCCAGGCCAGAAUACUGGAGUGGAUAGCCAUUUCCUUCACCAGGGGAUCUUCCCAAUGCAGGUCCAAGAAGAAUCCUCCAGAAUUUGUAGAGAGGCUUAUAUUUCAUAGGCCUUCAAUAAAUGGCAACAGUUUUUAUUGGUAUUCUUCCUC
rnacentral:lncRNA from 1 species